GAUGAAGAACGUAGCGAAAUGCGAUAAGUAGUGUGAAUUGCAGAAUUCAGUGAAUCAUCGAAUCUUUGAACGCACAUUGCGCCCUUUGGUAUUCCAAAGGGCAUGCCUGUUCGAGCGUCAUUUGUACCCUCAAGCUUUGCUUGGUGUUGGGCGUCUUGUCUCUAGCUUUGCUGGAGACUCGCCUUAAAGUAAUUGGCAGCCGGCCUACUGGUUUCGGAGCGCAGCACAAGUCACACUCUCUAUCAGCAAAGGUCUAGCAUCCACUAAGCCUUUUUUUCAACUUUUGACCUCGGAUCAGGUAGGGAUACCCGCUGAACUUAAGCAUAUCAAUAAGCGGAGGA
rnacentral:misc_RNA from 1 species